GAUGAACGCUGGCGGCGUGCUUAACACAUGCAAGUCGAACGGAGCUUAUGUGAUAGAGGUUUCGGCCAAUUGAUCAUAAGCUUAGUGGCGGACGGGUGAGUAACGCGUGAGGAAUCUGCCUUGGAGUGGGGAAUAACACAGUGAAAAUUGUGCUAAUACCGCAUGAUGCAGUUGAGUCGCAUGGCUCUGACUGCCAAAGAUUUAUCGCUCUGAGAUGACCUCGCGUCUGAUUAGCUAGUUGGUAGGGUAACGGCCUACCAAGGCGACGAUCAGUAGCCGGACUGAGAGGUUGGCCGGCCACAUUGGGACUGAGACACGGCCCAGACUCCUACGGGAUGCAGCAGUGGGGAAUAUUGGGCAAUGGGCGCAAGCCUGACCCAGCAACGCCGCGUGAAGGAAGAAGGCUUUCGGGUUGUAAACUUCUUUUGUCAGGGACGAACACAAUGACGGUACCUGACGAAUAAGCCACGGCUAACUACGUGCCAGCAGCCGCAGUAAGAC
rnacentral:rRNA from 1 species